rnacentral:rRNA from 1 species
GACGAACGCUGGCGGCGUGCUUAACACAUGCAAGUCGAACGGAAAGGCCCUGCUUUUGUGGGGUGCUCGAGUGGCGAACGGGUGAGUAACACGUGAGUAACCUGCCCUUGACUUUGGGAUAACUUCAGGAAACUGGGGCUAAUACCGGAUAGGAGCUCCUGCUGCAUGGUGGGGGUUGGAAAGUUUCGGCGGUUGGGGAUGGACUCGCGGCUUACCAGCUUGUUGGUGGGGUAGUGGCUUACCAAGGCUUUGACGGGUAGCCGGCCUGAGAGGGUGACCGGCCACAUGGGGACUGAGAGACGGCCCAGACGCCUACGGGAGGCAGCAGUGGGGAAUAUUGCACAAUGGGCGGAAGCCUGAUGCAGCAACGCCGCGUGCGGGAUGACGGCCUUCUGGGUGUAAACCGCUGUCGCCUGUGACGAAGCGUGAGUGACGGUAAUGGGUAAAGAAGCACCGGCUAACUACGUG